CAUGUUUCCAGCCAGAGCGGAGAGCCGUAAACAUCUUGAGGGCUGGGGCGGUGUCUGACUCAUGGCUGGAUUCCCCCAAGCCAAUGCAGAGCGGGAACCUAGCGACACUCAAACACGUUUAAGAGUAAAUUUCUGUUUGAGUCACCAAAGUAAAGAAAUCCAGUCCCCAGUACCAAUUGAAAUAAACCACAAAACACUUUGCCGAAUGGAAACUUGUUCUGCAAUGGUAAAGCAUGACUUUAACUUUAGCCAAAUUACUUCCCAGGAGUUAAACUAACUCAUGAUCUCACUGUCCACUGAAAAAAACUGUUCUUAGUCUGUUUGAGCCAUUGUAAUAUAGACUGGGUAACUUGUACACAGCAGACAUCUAUUUCUCCCAGGUCUGGAGGCUGGGCAUCUGAGAUCGGGACCAGCAUGGUUAGGUUCUGGUGCAGCCCAGAGCAGCAGGAGCUGUGCCCUGGCCCCUGUCCUGAGGAGCUCCCACUGGUCAGCCCCGCCUACUCCAGCUGGACCUUGAUGCUUCACACAAGGUGUGCGCAGAGGACACAGGCACUUCAUGGAGCAACAUACUUUUGUAAAAAAAAUGAAUUCCCUUGUAACAAAUAGAGCACGGAGGCUUUUAUAGAUUAAGUAAUUUGUAGUCUUCUUAUAAUUAUGGCUUCUAAAUUACCUAAAAUAAUUCAUUCAAGGCUUGAUUUUAGUUUUGUCUUGAGAGUGUCAACUCUUUAACUUGAGAUGCUGUAGGAUGGGGUUUCAUCUUGGGAUUCUUUUCUUGGAUAUGUCAUUUAAAUUCUGAUACUUAUAUUCCCUAUUUGAAAACACAUGAUCAAUGACAAUACCAAUACCUGAUUUGUGUGCAAUACUUAUAAUUUACAACGUACAUUAUUUUAACAUACAUUCUUUUCAUGCGACCCUCUCAACAACCCUUUGACAAGGCAAGUCAGAGACUAAUUACUAGAGAUUAUUCAAGCGACUUGCUCCAAGUCAUACAGUAGGCAGGCAGCCAAGAUGACUCUAGUUUUUCCAACUCCUAGUCCCACACUCUUUCCUCUCCCCUUACAUGUUCUGAUAUAAAUCAAACUUAGGUUUGAAAAUAUCUUAUUGAUGUAUUUCAACACCCCAGAAUUUGAUGAGACUGGAAUCGAUUUGUUGUGAUCUGUGAUUGCUGAAUUCCUCGUAUGUGGUGGAUACCAAGGUAAGUUGACUAGAAUGUGAGCUUGCCUACCCAGACACCAGUUCCCAUGUCCUUUGUCCGGUGGUAUAAUUUGAAGUUCACUCUUUUUGGUGUACAGUUUUAUGAGUUGAGUUGUGAAAAACAUAUACAGUUGUGUAUCCACCACUACAGUCAAGAUAUAGAACAGUUCCAUUACCUCAAAAAUUUUUUUCAGGCCGGGCGCAGUGGCUCACGCCUGUAAUCCCAGCACUUUAGGAGGCCAAAGCGGGCGGAUCACGAGGUCAGGAGAUCGAGACCAUCCUGGCUAACGCUGUGAAACCAUGUCUCUACUAAAAAUACAAAAAAAUUAGCCAGGCGUGGUGGCAGGUGCCUGUGGUCCCAGCUACUUGGGAGGCUGAGGCAAGAGAACCGCUUGACCCUGGGAGGCAGAGGUUGCGGUGAGCCAAGAUCGCGCCACUGCACUCCAACCUGGGCGACAGAGCGAGAGUCCAUCUCAAAAAGAAAACAUCAUACUCUUUUGUAGUCAACCCUAGCUAGGCCCCUAUAGUUUUGCCUUUCCCAAAGUAUCUUAUGCAUGGAAUCAUCCAGGAGAUAACCUCCUGAAUCAGGCUUCUGUCUCUUAGCAUAAUGCAUUUGGGAUUUACCAUGUUAUUUCAUUUAUCAGGUUUUUGUCCCUUUUCAUUGCUGAGUAGUAUUUCAUUAUAGGAAUGUACUCUCGUUUGUGGAUCAUUCUGAUCAACUCAGCACAUGUGGAUUAUUUCCAGUCUUGGCAAUGAUGAAUAAAGUCACUCUAAGCAUUCACGUACAGGUUUUUGCAUGAAUAAAAUACCUAGGAGUGAGAAA